rnacentral:rRNA from 1 species
AUUGAACGCUGGCGGCAGGCCUAACACAUGCAAGUCGAACGAGUGGCGCACGGGUGAGUAAUGUCUGGGAAACUGCCUGAUGGGGGGGGAAAACUACUGGAAACGGUCGCUAAUACCGCAUACCACCAGGUGUGCCCAUAUGGGAUUGGCUAGUGGGUGGGGUAACCGCUCACCAAGGAGACGAUCCCUAGCUGGUCUGAGAGGAUGACCAGCCACACUGGAACUGAGACACGGUCCAGACUCCUACGGGAGGCAGCAGUGGGGAAUAUUGCACAAUGGGCGCAAGCCUGAUGCAGCCAUGCCGCGUGUAUGAAGAAGGCCUUCGGGUUGUAAAGCACUUUCAGCGGGGAGGCGUUACCCGCAGAAGAAGCACCGGCUAACUCCGUGCCAGCAGCCGCGGUAAUAC